GACUUCGUGGCCAAGUUGGUUAAGGCGUACGACUGUUAGUCCAUCGUAAGAUCGAGAGUUCGACCCUCUCCGAGGUCG